rnacentral:rRNA from 1 species
CAAUAGCGUAUAUUAAAGCUGUUGCGGUUAAAAAGCUCGUAGUUGGAUUUCUGUCAAGGACAACUGGUCCGCCCUCCGGGUGAGCACAUAGUUUGGUCUUGACAUCUUGCUGGAAGCUGUUGCUGCACUUGGCUGUGUGGCGCAGUGUUCAGCACUUUCACUUUGAGGAAAUUGGAGUGUUUCAAGCAGGCACAUGCCUUUGGACACAGUAGCAUGGAAUAAUUAGAUUGGGCAUUUGCUCCAAUUUGUCGGUUUCUGGAGCUGAGGUGAGUAUUAAUGGGGAUUGUUGGGGGCACCCGAAUUUAGCCGUCAGAGGUGAAAUUCUUGGAUCUGCUAAAGACGGACAACUGCGAAAGCGUUUGCCCAGGAUGUUUUCAUUGA